UCUCCGUGGGUGAACCUGCGGAGGGAUCAUUACAGAGUUCAUGCCCUACCGGGUAGAUCUCCCACCCUAUGUUAUUAUUACUUUGUUGCUUUGGCGGGCCGUUAGGCUCCGGCCCGACUACCGGCCCCGGCUGGUAAGCGCCCGCCAGAGGACCCAAAACCCUGAAUAUUAGUGUCGUCUGAGUACUAUAUAAUAGUUAAAACUUUCAACAACGGAUCUCUUGGUUCUG
rnacentral:misc_RNA from 1 species